UACGUAGGGGGCAAGCGUUGUCCGGAUUUACUGGGCGUAAAGAGCGUGUAGGCGGCCUGACAGGUCUGCUGUGAAAACUUGAGGCUCAACCUCGAGAUGUCGGCGGAAACCGUCUGGCUAGAGUCCGGAAGAGGAGAGUGGAAUUCCUGGUGUAGCGGUGAAAUGCGCAGAUAUCAGGAAGAACACCUAUGGCGAAGGCAGCUCUCUGGGACGGUACUGACGCUGAGACGCGAAAGCGUGGGGAGCGAACAGG
rnacentral:rRNA from 1 species